AUUGAACGCUGGCGGCAGGCCUAACACAUGCAAGUCGAACGGUAACAGGAAGCAGCUUGCUGCUUUGCUGACGAGUGGCGGACUGGUGAGUAAUGUCUGGGAAACUGCCCGAUGGAGGGGGAUAACUACUGGAAACGGUAGCUAAUACCGCAUAACGUCGCAAGACCAAAGAGGGGGACCUUAGGGCCUCUUGCCAUCGGAUGUGCCCAGAUGGGAUUAGCUAGUAGGUGGGGUAACGGCUCACCUAGGCGACGAUCCCUAGCUGGUCUGAGAGGAUGACCAGCCACACUGGAACUGAGACACGGUCCAGACUCCUACGGGAGGCAGCAGUGGGGAAUAUUGCACAAUGGGCGCAAGCCUGAUGCAGCCAUGCCGCGUGUAUGAAGAAGGCCUUCGGGUUGUAAAGUACUUUCAGCGGGGAGGAAGGGAGUAAAGUUAAUACCUUUGCUCAUUGACGUUACCCGCAGAAGAAGCACCGGCUAACUCCGUG
rnacentral:rRNA from 1 species